CUGUUGUAUGAAAGGGGGGAGGUUAAACUUCCCUCGACAAGGAUGCGAGAGGUCCUCAGCCUAAACAAGAAACACAUGGUUAAAGCAUCACCACUCUCUGUGAUGUCACCCAGGGUUUUCC
ensembl:snRNA